UACGUAGGCAGCAAGCGUUGUUCGGAGUUACUGGGCGUAAAGGGUGUGUAGGCGGCCGUUGAAGUUUGGUGUGAAAUCUCCCGGCUCAACUGGGAGGGUGCGCCGAAUACUGAAUGGCUAGAGUGCGGGAGAGGAGAGUGGAAUUCCUGGUGUAGCGGUGAAAUGCGUAGAUAUCAGGAGGAACACCGGCGGUGUAGACGGCUCUCUGGACCGUAACUGACGCUGAGACACGAAAGCGUGGGUAGCAAACAGG
rnacentral:rRNA from 1 species